AUAUAUGGAGUGUUGACGCUCUGAUGGCUAGGAAGGAAGUGGGCUGUGGAGAACGUGUUGAUUGACCAAGUCGGCUAGGGAAGAGUAGCAGCUCGAGGGCGGCGACAGUUGCGACAAUGGUGGUAGAGAGGUGCGACUGGAGCACACUUGCCAGCCGGAACUCCCUGGCUGACCGACCAAUGAGCAUUACGAUAAGGGAAGGACAUGCAAGGGAUACAAUAUGGAUCAAUACCGUCAGAUGAGGCUAAAAGUAGAAGAUCCACGGGAGCCUCGCUAGGCUGCGAGAAUUACUAGAAGAGGACAACAAGGAGCUUGCUGUAGAUGCUUGAAGCCUGGCAUCAGCCAAGGGAGUGUGCACUAACUGUUCAUGGUCGGCAAGAGGUCCAUGUCAUGGUCUAAUAUAUGGAGUGUUGAUGCUCUAAUAGUUAGGAAGGAAGUGGGUUGUGGAUAACGUGCUGAUUGACCAAGUCGGCUAGGGAAGAGUAGCAGCUCGAGGGCGGUGAUACUUGUUGCGACAAUGGUGGGAGAGAGGUGCGACUGGAGCAACUCGCCAGCCACAUGGAACUCCCUGGUUGACCGGCCUACACGGCAUAGCUUCCCCCUGGCCGCUUGGGAGUAUGGCACUACCCGGAAAGAUGUCCUUGCUCCGGUGGUGCUGCUGCUGCCGCGCUAG